CUGGAAACCAUCAUUCUGAGCAAACUAUCACAAGGACAGAAAACCAAACACUGCACGUUCUCACUCAUAGAUGGAAAUUGAACAAUGAGAACACUUGGACACAGGGCAGGGAACAUCACACACUGGGGCCUGUCAUGGGGUCGGGGGAUGGAGGAGGGAUAGCAUAGGAGAAAUACCUCAUGUCAGUGACGAGUUAAUGGGUGCAGCAAACCAGCACGGCACAUGUAUACAUAUGUAACAAACCUGCACAUUGUGCACAUGUACCCUAGAACUUAAAAUAUAAUAAUAAAAAAAGAAGAGACAAUGAAAAUCACUAUAUUAUAAGGAUCAAUUCAGCAAGAUGAUAUUACACUUUUAAAUAUAUAUGCAACCAAUGCUGGAACAACCAGAUAUAUAGAGUAAAUAUUAUUAGUGCUGAAGACAAAAAUGGGCCCCGAUUUAAUAAUAGCUGGACACUUUAACACCACUUUCAGCAUGGAACAGGUGUUCCAGACCAAAAAUCAACUGAGAAAGAUUGGCCUUAUUCUGCACUACGGACCAAAUGAAUCAAAUAGAUAUUUACAGAACAUUUCAUCCAAGAGCUGCAGAAAACACAUUCUUUUCUUCAGCACAUGAAUCAUUCUCAAGGAUAGAACAUAUGUUAAGUCACAAAACAAAUCUUAAAACAGUCACAAAAUAGUGAAGUAAUAUUAAGCACCUUCUCUGACCACAAUGGAAUAAAACAAGAAGUCAAGAAAAAGAAGAAUUUUAGAAACACUACAAAUACAUGAAAAUUAAACAAUACUCUUCUGCAUGACCAGUGGGUCAAUGAAGAAAUUAAGAAGGUAAUUGAAAAAAUUUUUUAAACAAAUAAUGAUGGAAACACAGCAUACCAAAUCCUAUGGAAUACAACGAAAGCAGUACUAACAGGUACGUUUAUAUCUAUACGUGUUUACAUCAAACAUAGGAGAAACAUGAAAUAAACAACCUAAUGAUGUGUCUUAAAGAACUAGAAAAGUAAGAGCAGAUCAAACCCAAAUUAGCAGAAGAAAAGAAAUAAUGAAGAUCAGAGUGGAAAUAAAUGAAAUUAAAAUGAAGAAAAUGCAAAAGGUACUGAAACAAAAAGUUGGUUUUUUGAAAAGUUAAACAAAAUUGACAAAACUUUAGCCGGAGCAAUUAAGAAGAAAAGAAAGACAAUCAAAAUAAAUAAAAUCAGGAAUGAAAAAGGAGAUAUUACAAAUGAUAUCACAGAAAUUUAAAUGAGCAUUAGUGGCUAAUGUGAGUAACUGUAUGACAACAAAUGGGAAAAGCUAAAAGUCCAUUUCUGGAUUACCCGGUCUAUUCCUUUGAGCUACUUUUGUGUCUUUUUGCCAACAAUCACACCGUUUAGCCAAACGCUAUACGACCAUAACUUUAUAGGGCAUCUUGAAAUCUGCUCCCGUACGAUGCCCUAAAAUUCUAGCUGCCUUAGCAAUUCCACAUUCUAUUCUGUUUUUCCCAUCUAAUGAGAUUGGUUUUCUUUCUUGUACUUUAUUUCUCUGCAUCAUAGUUUAGAAAAAGCUCCCAGGAAAAAAGCUUCAGUAAAUGUGGAACGUAUAUCAUUUCUCUUAAGACUUUCAGUCCUGUACUAUCAGCAGUGUAAUAAAAGUUUCUUAAUAUAUUUUUCCAAUUUAUAAUUGUUCACUAUAGGAAGUAAGUCUACAACCAACUACCCUGUCAUGUCAGGAUCAAAAGUCAGCUUUCAGUUGCUUUCAUCCACCAAUUAUUCUCUUCCAAAAAUUUAGGGAUAUAUAUAAUUUAUAUAUGCAUUCAGAUGUAAUGCAUAUAUACAAUGUACAUAUAUUAUUUUUACAUACGCACAUACAUAUAUACAUUCUGUUUGCUACCUUCUUAUCCUUACUUCCUACCUAGAAUAACAGCCUUAGAGAUUGUCGUUUGGCCUUCUAUAGUACUAACAAAUGGGUGAUUAACUGAUGUGUAUGACAACAGAAGCUGUCUAUAAGAAGAGUCAGUCUAGGCAGAUGUGUAAAUUAUCCAAUAUUUAAUUUAUGUGUGCAGAAGCACAGCCUUCAUGAGCACACCCCAUAUUGUAGCGAAUAUAGAAGACUUAGGCAGAGAUCAGAAAUUCAAUAAGCUUGCAAUGGCUUCUUUUUAAAUAACAGGUUUUCCAUGGGUUGGUAUCAUGAUAAGAGCAAGGCUUUGGAGACAAACCCAGAAGAAACUUGGUUUGAGCCCUUGUGAUAUCUGUAAUAUAACUACUCCAAGCAUCAAUGUCCUCAUGGGUUAAAAGAAUACCGCAGGAAUACCAUUUUUUAAAGAUUGUUUCAAGGAUUUAAACAGUGAAUCCAUGUAAUGUACUUAUCAAAGUGUCUGGCUCUCACUUUCUGGUUAAUAAAUGGCAGUUGUUAUCAUUACAACUGAAAGUGCAUACAACUAUCUUUGGCUGUAUACUAGAAACCAACAAAUGCCAUUACCUCCUGGAAUAUAUUAACAAGUGGUCUGACAGCUUAAUGAUGUGUGCCAGCACAUUGAAAGAUAACAGGAAAAAAUAAAAACAACUCAACCCAGAGGAUUACUAGGAUGGGGAUCAGGGUUGGGGAAGAAGAAAGAACAAAAUUCACCUUUGGUCCCCAAAAAUCCCAGGCAUAUUUUAAAAAGAUAAUCCUUCUGAAAUUUAUUCUUUUACUAUAACAUAAAUUCCCUUAACAUCCUGUAUGAUUCUAACCCUUCAUGAGUAUGUGUAAUAUAUGUAUGAACAAGCAUAGAGUAAAUAAUGAGUAAUAUUGUAUUUAAGUUGGUUUUGUCAAUUUUUUCACUUUGAAUUAGUGACAUUGAACAUUUCUGCAUAUAUGGUGUCUUAACUACAAUGAUAUGUCAUAGUUGUGAAAAUUAUCUAUUUCAUACAGUAAUUAGAAAAAAUAUACCACCUUAGAAUGUUACUGAGAUACAAAGAAACAGCAAUAUAGUCUAAGCAUGUACCACUCUUUAAUAAUAUUUAACAGAUAUUUGUAUCAUUCUAGGCACACACACACAUUCACACACACACAGGAGUGUAAGAUACAAUUCCAGAUUCUAAAGACCUCACACUCUUGCAGGGAAACUCAUCUGUGAAACUAUUGUAAAAUAUAUUGCUACUGUAAAAAACAGACACUAUCUAUUUUCUUUUUCAGAAAAGUAGGUGACAGGCUCAGAGGGAAAGAGGCAUUCCUGCUGUGUCUUUACUUAUCAGUUAUAUUCUUUUCGAAGGUCAAGUUGGGGAAAGAAUCUCUAGGUCAAGGAAAAACUACAAGCAAAUAUACAGAAUUAUAAAGAUGUAUGCCAUGCCUAGAAAAUAGCAAGAAAAGAGGUUAACUUAGAACAUACAUUUAUGGGUGAGACUGACAGACUGUGAUACCAGAAAGAUAGGUUGAGAACAUAUUAUGAAAGGUUUGAAUGCCAUUUUGAGGUGUUAAAUUUCUACUUAUGGAAUUCAGGAGUGGAAGAAUUAUGAUCAGGUUAUUUUAUAUAAGUUUGAGAUAUAAAAUAUUUUAGAGAAA
rnacentral:lncRNA from 10 species